GGGGAAGGGUAGCUUGCUACCUGACCUAGCGGCGGUCGGGUGAGUAAUGCUUAGGAAUCUGCCUAUCUAGUGGGGGACAACAUUCCGAAAGGAAUGCUAAUACCUUAUACGCCCUGCUGGGGAAAGCAGGGGAUCUUCGGACCUUGCGCUAAUAGAUGAUUCUAAGUCAGAUCAGCUAGUUUGGAGGGGUAAAGGCCUUCCAAGGCUACGAUCUGUAGCGGGUCUGAGAGGAUGAUUCCUCACACUGGGACUGAGACACGGCCCAGACUUCUACUGGAGGCAGUAGUUGGGUAAUAUUUGGCCAAUGGGCGAAAGCCUGAUCCAGCCAUGCCGUUGUGUGUGACGAAGAGCCUUUUCGGUCUCGAAAGCCCUUG
rnacentral:rRNA from 1 species